rnacentral:lncRNA from 1 species
CAGUUGCAACCCACUGGAGACUUUAUACUUUUUAUUAACACAGGAGUAGAGAUCGUGCACGCGCUACACUGAGCAGUUUCUCCGCGCCUAUGGCAGCAUUUUUUCCCCUUUCCUUCGCAAGCAGAGUAGCGCGAUGGAGCGCAGAAGCCGACGACUGAGAGAACAAUAGAGGCGGUAGAGGAUCCAACCCAUACUUGACACUUGACACUGACCGUGACUCUCAGCCAGGACGGCGGAGGUAGCAUACUGCAUACCAGCGCGAACGUAACGCGCCUGAUCUCUUAUUGUUCAUUCCAAACAACCCACUCACUAAUAACCACCGCCUCAAGAAUGCACCACUGUUAUUACCCACAGGCCCCAACGCUGCCCAAUGUGUGCGGCGUUCGUUCCCUACUCACCUGGCCGGCUGGCCCCCAACUAAUUCGAAAGCCUCGUCACCCCCCCCCCCCCCCCCCCCACACACACACACACACACAAACACACAAUUCACUCAGUCACUCACAGGCCACCACAAGCCCAUCCUACUCAUUUCGCGCCCUUGGUGGUGAGCCCGAAGCCGAACGGGAAGAGCGGGUCGUAGUGCUUGUCGCCCACGUUCAUGGGCAGCUGGUCCACCGACUUGAACCACGUCCGCGACAGCUUCCCCGUGAACCCGUAGUCGCCGAACAGCACGUCCGCCACGCCCUGCCCCUCCGACCCCGGCAGCCACGCCGCCACGAACGCGUCCAUGUCGCCCACGUACGGCUCCACCACCAGGGGCCUCCCGGAGAUGAGCACCACCACGCACUUGGUCGCCUUGCACACCGACUGGAUCACGCUCGGCCCCGGCGCCGGGAUCGUCAGGUUCAGGUUGUCGCCGAACGUCUCCGCGUACGGCGGCUCCCCGACCACCACGAUCGCGUAGUCGUACUUGUCGCCGAGCACGCCGCUGUCCGGGUUCUCCGAGUACACCACCUGCGUGCUGGGAUCCACGGUCGCCUCGAUUCCGGAGAGGAUCGUCGUGCCUGUUCCAUCCACAUCCCAUCGCAAGUUAUUAUAGUUCGUUGUUGGUCACCAAUCAUUUUCUCAAGUGCGUGCCAAAUGCGCUGUAGCUGCAAGUGAGACGGAAAAGGAGACGCCACUCACCAACGGUGGUGUUGCCGCUGCUUCCUUGCCAUGUGAUCGUCCAUCCUCCGCACUGGUUGCCCAAGUCGUUGGCGUGGCUACCGGCGACCAGGAUCUUACCGGCCUUCUUCGGGAGGGGCAGCAAGGGAGCAGAGGAGGAUUUCCCGUUCUUCAGAAGAACCAGGGACUUCCUGACGGCUUCGCGUGCCAACUCCCGGUGUUCCUAUAUACCAAGGCCGGCGCAGCUAGAUGCAUCAGUAACCAUUUUCAGCAUGUAUGCAGAUGAGCAUGAUGAGGUGUUAAGAACUGACUUGCUUCCCGAUUUCACCGGCAAGGCUAGCAUCGGGGUAAGGGUUCUCAAAUAGACCCAUGGUGAACUUGACACGGAGGAUCCUGUAGACGGCAUCGUCGAUUCUGCUCAUGGGGAUGACCUUGUUCUGAACUUGUGUCGUGAGGUCGUCGAUGAAUUCUGUGUAUCUGAAUGGAACCAUGAUCUGCAUAUAAUCAUUUCAGGGCACGGUCAGCUAGCAGACGCAAUAUUGCAUUCGAACUUAUAAGUGGUAACUAAGAAGAUGAGAAGCAAUCCAGUCAUUCACUCCCAUAAUAGUUUAUUUUUGAACCAAGUACAAAAAUAAUUUAUCAGUGCCAUCCUUAUCUAAAUCAAAGAUACUUUUUAGGAACUUUUCCUUUUGUUUAGUAAAAGGGUUGGUUCUUAUGCUUUAGUGUUUUUUUUUGAAGAAAAAAAAAUCAACUAAUGCACAUGUUUCACAUAUCUUAUUCUCACCAUGUCAAUACCAGCACCAACUCCAGCCUCAAUUGAAUAAGAAUAGUUGGCGUGAGGAGGAGUAGUGAUCCGAUCAAUGCCCUCCCAAUCGGAAAUCACAAAACCCUGUUUGCAAAAGAUGUUCAAAUUUGAGUUUGUAACUGACGUGAAUAUAUAAACAGAAAAAUCUUGAGCCUUUGUAAUGACCAACUGACCCUAAACUUGAGCUUGUUCUUGAGAAAAUCUGUGACUAGGAAAUGGUUUGCGUGCAUCUUUUUUCCAUUCCAGCUGGAGUACGAGGUCAUGACUGUAGAGACACCUCGAAUAAUAGAGUUAUAGUAAGGAGGCAUGUGGAUGCUCAUCAGUCCAUGUGUGUCGAUGAUCGUGUUGUUCUCGUUGAUUCCCAUAUACGUUCCACCAUCACCAACAUAGUGCUUCGCGCAUGCAGCAACCUUCUUACUGUAGAGUACAGCAGCGAAAACAGAUUUAGUUCAGCAUUGGAAUUGAACAUUACUUGUCUGCUUCCACCUUUUAAAACAGAAGCUGGCUCUACAAGCCAUGAAAUAAGACAAUCUAGCUAUAAUCUGUUUGGUGUAGUAUACCUUCCACCAACAUAUGGUCUUCCCACAAAAUCCGCAGGAGCAUCGCCUUGUAAGCCAGAGAUGAGUGAAGUCAGUGACUGGACAACCUUUGGGUCCUCACUAUAGCUCUCAUAGCAGCGCCCCCAUCUUGGAUCUCUACAAACCUGGGCAAUAUCAUGUAAGCUACAGGCAUGAGUUUAAAGGGAUAACAAAACGGCACAUUUAUAACCGAAAUAAAACAUCCACAGUACAGCAGGAAGAAAUGCCUAUUACCGCAAUACAUGGAGCAAAGGCAUAAGGAAUUCCAGUAGCUCUAACUUCAAGAGCAGUUGCUUCUCCAAUUCUCUUAACGAGGUCAGGGUCCCUGGAAUAGAAUUACAACAGCACAUCAACAUGAUAAUAUAGACUGGCAAAUGCUUGUCGCAACUUGUCUGAACUAGCACUACCAUAUGAGCAUACUGAAAGGCAUAGCAAAGUAGGUGCAGCUUGUACCUGGUAGCUCCAAGCCCGACGUUGUGAGGGAAGAUAGUAGCUUUGUAGACGUUAUUGUGACCAUGCACAGCAUCAAUACCGUAGAUGAUCGGGAUACCUAGACGUGUAGAAAGAGCGCCCUUCUGCAUCUCAGUCACCAUGGAGGCCCAAGCCUCAGCAGAUGCUUGAGGAGCAGGCACACUGCCUCCGCCACUCAGUACGCUACCUGCAAAACAGCACAGCAAAAUCAAAUGCAUACUCGCCAGUCUGUCACCUUCUCCAUUUUUCAGUGUUAAUAUAAUCUGACAUACCUAUGAAGUAUUUCGCCAGUGCAUCGGCUGUGGCAUUUUCCCUCUCAAUCUGGGUCAUCUGGCCAAUCUUUUCUGCAAGAGUCAUCCGACUCAGCAGAUCCUUGACACGAACAGCGAUAGGCUGCUUCGGAUCCUUGUACUUGAGGUAAUCUGCUCUCCCCAACGCUAACAGGCAGAACAUGAGAACAAGGGUGAUCUUGUGUAUGUUCGCCAUCUUGUCUGUGUGGUUCUGAUCACCACGAACCACCUAUAUAUAGACCUGGCAGAAGGAUGCCAAACAGAUGAGUUAACGUUCAAUAAAGCUUAUUCAAUAAAUAUGCAAUAUUAUAGUAAGUCUCUUGUUUAAAAAACACACACAUAAAACUCUAUAAUUGGACCGGUUCCAGAUGCUGCCAUAAAAAAAUAAAAUAAAAAAACACGCACAAAAGGGAGCAGAUAACUUAAAAUCGGUUGUGUUUUGUGCCUUUCUUUGUUUGAAACAGCGUAAAGUUGCUGAAACCCAGCAUGUUUAUAGGGAAAACAAACCCAAAGCUACCUAACCUUGAUUGGUUGAACUGAGCCGGCACAAAAGAAAGGGGGUGAUGAAGAAUAAAAUGCAGUUUGAACAGAAUACUAUAGGCACCACCACAUCAUGAGCACACUGACUCUUUCAGAAGCUAGCACAAUGAAUACCUCAGAAUAUAUAUAUACUCGACUCAAAGUAAGCAACUAGCAAUCCGCAUGAGCACGACCGCAAAUGCAAAAGGCAGGAAUAUUUCCUGCAAGAAAAAAUGCAGAAAAGCUUUAUGCUUGCUGCUCAGGAAGGGUGAGGAUGUCCUCAAAGGAACGGAAUCCGGAUUCCUCUUAUAAGCACCAGUGGAUGUGAUGAUCAGUGGCCCAUGAGUGUUGCACCGACAUGAAGACGGAUGGCAAGGCAACAAAAUCAAAAGAAAUAAGGGUUGUGAUUAGUAGGGGGGACCUAGAACAAGCUGUCGCCAACGACGGUUGAGCAUACAAUCUCUCGACCUCCACCACUCAGCUCGUGAAUGCACCACCAUGAGCGGCAUCUAUCAGUUAGAAUGUCGCUGUGGAUAAGAUCAGCGGCCAUGAUUAAUUGGUCUCCCCAUCGUUAUAGAACAAUCCAAGUUGCAAUCAUCCACUCGAUCUCCCACUGACCAAUCUGCCCACUAGGCUAGGAUAUUUGGGUUGUGCAGUAUUCUAGUCUAAGAACCAUGCAGCCAUUUGAAUAGGGAGAAUCUGGCCUAAGAGGCACUAAGAAAAUGUGCCUGUCUGCGCUAGAAUUCACUCGCCCGGCCAGCACCGCCUGCUGCCGCUGCGUCGAAUUGUUUCAUCGCUCCGAAAGGGACAUCGGAGCCGAAGACGUGCGCCGGAGGCCUCGGCACGCCAAGGCCAAGUCGCCUUGCUCUGCGUCGCCAGGUUCAGACCGUGAAGGAGCAGAAUAAGACAGCACAACCACUUGGGAAAGUUUUUUGGGAAAGUUUUGGAUUAAAUUAGGAGAAAAUCUUGGACUUGCAAGACCAAACCUACUAACCACUAAACAAACUGGUACAGGGCUACUGGCUACAGGCAUCUAAAUAUUUCUUUUGAUAGCAAGCUGGCCAUGGGCUGCGUGCAAGCAAGGCAGAUUUGGUCGAUAAGAAAUUCAGAACAAUUCCUCGCGUGGAGGGCACAUCCAUCAGCGAGCUCCUCCACGGUUGCCCGUGCGAAGCUGGCGUCAGGAAUUCAAAAGGAACCCAAGGUGGCAGGCUGGUCACUCUCCACUACUACUACACCACCAUUACACAGACAACGAAGCCACGCCAUGACAUGAACGACACCAUGGGAUGGAUGCGACGCUACCACCACCAUCACGCAUCAGCGUCACCUCCUCUGCUAGAGCCCAAGACAGGGCAGCGCAGGUGGUUCGCAAAUCCACAUCUGCCCGCAAAGAUUUUUAGCAUUUUGUGGCCUCUCCACCCCGGGACGGAGCCAGGAAGGGUCGGUGGAGGGCGCUGCCGAGCCUGGAAGGCCCUGGAGAGCCGCCGCCCCCUUCCCCCAAACUGACGCGUGUGUGUGUGUGUGCAGCGCAGUCCGCUACCGCUAGCGAUUGCGACGGAGAGGAAGGAGCAGGACGGAGAAGAUGUGAAGUGCACAGGCAACCAAGGGGAGGGGGCUCACCGAUUACCAGCAGGCGGCGCGGUGACGAGACGGAGAGCGGCCGGGGGAGUGGGCGCUGCGCCUGCGCCGGCGAGCAGCAGCACAGCUUGCGCACCGGGAAGCUGGCAGUGGCAGCUCGCUCCCCCGGGGCAGUGAAGGCUGGCGACGAGUGCCGAGGGCCCGAGGCUUUAUUGCGCUCGUCGUCGCCGCCUUUACUGAGCCGCUUUUUUUUUUCACCCCGGGAAUCUACAGCAGAACACCAAAGGCUGGCGACUGUGAAUUUGACCGUGCUGGUGUUCGGGUGGCGGGGAGGGACCAACCCGCACUCACGCUAGUGGCUCACUGCCUGGUGGGCCCACCACACAGUUGUCAGCACUGGACCCGUGUGUAAAGUUUUACAGUGGCUGGUACCAGCGCUGUUCUGUUUGUUGCCCUUUUUGGCGGGUGGACUCGUGUGAUGUGUGCUCGGGACUCGUGGUCGUGGCACCUUUUUCCGUUUUGUUUUCUUUCCCGUCUUCGCAGUGUGUAGCGUACCCCGCAAAAUACUCCAGUGGCUGUAAAAAGCUGUGCUGUACACCAGGCACCAGCGAUCUGGUGAAUACGGUACGGUACGCGGAUUAAUUAGUGGUUUAGUACUCCCCAAAUAGAGACGUUGGCACGUUGCUGUUGUCGGACUAGUAGUAUUUCGCUAGCCAACGGUCGAUUAUUAGCUGUAAACUUGCUGCUUGAGUAGGAGUGCUUCAACACGAAUACACAAUGGACUACAUUUUCAACGCAAGGAUAAAAGCUCUAUUAUCAUUAGUCCGUUGCUCAUUAAUGUACUCCAACCGGGCCCUUGUUUAGUUCUAAAAAAAUUAUAAAAAUUCGGUCAUAUCAAAUCUUACUGUAAAUAUAUGAAAUAUUAAAUAUAAAUAAAAAAACUAAUUAUACAAUUACCUGUAAUUUAUGAGAUAAAUUCUUUAAACCUAAUUAGUCUAUGAUUACACAAUAUUUGUCAAAUACAAACGAAAGUGCUAUCAUAUUUAUUUUGAAAAAAAAACUAAACAAGGCCCGAGAGCAUACUGAGCGUAGCCUACAUCACUACUCCUACCGAGUACUGUACUCCCGUUCAGCGCUCUUGUUGAUGAUACGCACACAAACACGUCGUCCGCAGGGAAAUUCGGGCGUCCCUGGCCGCACGAGCGCUGAUUGUCGCUUCGGUGACACCGAAAUGAAUGGGAUCUUCUCCUCCGAUCCUUAUCUCGACAGCCCGGCGCACACUAAUCCGGCGACUAUUCCCCUGAUCUGAUCGGAAAUCCCAGUCACGCGCGGGCGCAAAAAUGUCAAAGGAUCUGAUCGAUUUUCCUGACGAAAAGGCAUAAUCGCGGCAGCGGAACUGCCUGCAGAUCAGACGGCCACGCAGCCUUCCAGCCGCAAAAAGAAUAGCAUAUUCAUGUUCAUACAUUGAUCAGGGUAGAGACCGAUGGCACGCGCAACGCAAGUUGGGACUUGGGACCAUAAUAACGACGCAUCAGGAGCACGUGUCCGCUGUCAGCAUAAACGCCUUAUCUGCACCCGUCCCAUACAGAUAACGUCGAAAAAGUUAAGUAAACCCUAUCUCGGACGUGAGAUCCAGAUCGCGUAAAACGCUGAGAAGCUGAGAGAGAUGAAUGAGUGAGCGGCAGAUCCAGAUCACGAGCCCGCGCGCUCUGACAAUCCGAACAGUAACUACACGAGUGAGCAGCCACUCGUCACGCUGCAACAAUCGCAACAAGUCAAGAAGUUUAGGUACUACAGUACUGUACUAUUGUUAUAUACUCCUAUCUGGGCACCACGUACUGGUUGCAACUAGUAGACACCUUUGCAGGUAAUCGCAGUCUUACCAGGAGUAUACAAAGGGAAAAACUCGUGCGCCAUGCAUGCUAGGUCCCGGGCUCUCCUAACCAGCUUUCUGACGCUCUCACCAGUCGUCAGUUAAAAAAAAAUUAAACCUGUGCAAGAAUCAAGAUCCAUGUACUACGACGUCACAGCCUGCGGGCUAUGCAGGUUGCAGGCAGCCACAUGGAAUGGAAUGGAAAACGGAACGGGGACAAAAAUGAAGCAGAAACGACGGAACGGGUAGAUAAAAAGGAACAUGGGGUGCCCGACUGUGUUGGACUACACUACAGAACAUUACUAGAGUUUACGGCGUGUGACUCUGGCAGUAGCAGUGCACCUGUUAGGCGAAAGUAUAAACAGCUGCACAUGCAGGGCCGUCCCCCCUCCAGCUCCAGCUAGGGCGGCUAGCCUGGAGCACAGAGCAGCGCACCACCAGUCCACCACGGGCAGUACGUUGCACGGGAGCGCACGGCGGGCCUGACAGUGGCGUGCAGAUCAGGAAGGCCGAGGCAUUGUUUACUUCCCAGAAAAUUUUGCAAAAUUUUUCACAUUCCCCGUCACAUCGAAUCUUUAGACACAUAUAUGGAGUAUUAAAUAUAGAUGAAAGUAAAAACCCACAGUUUGGUCGAAAUUGACGAGACGAAUCUUUUGAGCCUAGUUAGUGCAUGAUUGGACAAUAUUUAUCAAAUACAAACGAAAAUGCUACAGUGCCUGUUUUGCAAAAAUUUUUUGAACUAAACUGGGCCUUGUUUACUUCCGAAAAGAUUUCGGAUUUCGGUACUGUAGCACUUUCGUUUGUUUGUGACAAAUAUUAUCCAAUUAUGGACUAACUAGGAUCAAAAGAUUCGUCUCGCGAUUUCCAGCUAAACUGUGUAAUUAGUUUUUGCUUUUAUUUAUAUUUAAUGCUUCAUGCAUGUGCCGUAAGAUUCGAUGUGACGGGAAAUCUUGAAAACUGUUGCUUUUUGGGUGAACUAAGGCCCUGGUUGGGUUGCGUGAUCUGAUCUGGGGCAGGCAGAGGCAAGGCAGCCGGGUGGGCGCCACGGUUUCUAUAGCCGAAUCUUAAACGCGUCGUUGUACUACGCAGGAAAGGAUGGCCUUGCCUUGCCUGCGUGCCCGCCCGGCCGGUGCAUUGGCGUGCAGGCGCAGCUGCUGGUGCUGUUGCAAAGUUUAAUACUGGCCGUGAAGGGAUGUCGUGCGUGCCGGCGCCAUUAAGAGCGUGACAGGGGGUUAAUACGCUAAGGACUUGUUUAGUUCACCCAAAAACUAAGAUUUUCCGUCACAUCGAAUCUCGCCACACAUGCAUGAAAUAUUAAAUAUAAAUAAAAAUAAAAACUAAUUAGUCUGUGAUUGAACAAUAUUUGUCAAAUAAAAACGUAAAUACUACGUUACCGAAAUUAAAAAUAUUUUCAGAACUAAACAAUGCUUAAACCGUCCGGGCCAAAAUCAAGCGGCUGAUCACUUGCUGUCCACACAGGAUUCAUCCAGUACUAAGGAUUUGUUUCCACUUGGCUGUCCUGUGACUGCCACGACCGGUUCACCAAAACACGCCGUACGCGCAGAGACGCAUGCAGCACGCUGCACGCAUGACUACUGCUACAUGAAGAGCCAGCCAAGAGUGUCUACUACAUUGCUACAAUCCGGCACUGCUACUGUUUUUGUUGCUUGCAGCUGGGUCCGUGUCCGUCCAGUACAUCGAUGGAUCAGAGAAGCAGCAAAGAACCUACAAAUGCUUGUCUAAGGCCAUAGGCGAGCAUCAUCAGCAUGAAACUCCAUCAUUGCUCCUCAUGGCAGGUCACGACAAGCUACUUUGGCCGUCCAGUACAUCGAUGGAUCAUAGAACCAGCAAAGAACAGGGAAAAUGCUUGUUACAUCGAUGGAUCAGAGAACCAGCAAAGAACAGGAAAAAUGCUUGUCUAAGACUAUCUCCAACGAUCAUCGCCCAAAAUACAAGACCUAUUUAUCCUUUGGGUAGCGCUACAGGUAAAAGGUUCCAUACCUAUAUUUAGUCUUCUCCAGCAACGAGACCUAAAAGAAAACACUCUCUACAAAUGGGUCUCGAGGAGAGAAAAUACCCAAAUUUGGGUUAUGCCUCUCCUGAUACCUAAAAUGGGUUUUCUAUAUGCGUACUCUGUUGGAGGCUAUAGGUAUUGUGUUGGAGACCCAUUUUGGGUUUAGGUUCCCAAAUGGGUCUCCUAUUGGAGACAGCCUAAGGCCUUGUUUACUUACAACUAAAAACCCAAAAUUUUUCAAGAUUUUCUGUCACAUCGAAUCUUUAGACACAUGCAUAGAGUAUUAAAUAUAGACGAAAAUAAAAACUAAUUGCACAGUUUGGUCGAAAUUUACAAGACGAAUUUUUUAAGUCUAGUUAGUCCAUAAUUGAACAAUAAUUAUCAUAAAUAAACAAAAGUGUUACAGUGUCGCGAAAUUUUUCUCCUUCGCGACGGCCUAAAGCCAUAGGCGAGCAUUAUCAGCAUGAGACUCCAUCAUUGCUCCUCAUGGCAGUCACGACAAAGGACUUUGGCCGUCACUCAGUUGCCAUCAUGACAGUAAGUCUGUUUGUUUAACUUAUUUAUUAUUAAAUUUAUCAGUUAUUUAAUAAUAUUUUUUUCUAAUAAUAAAUUAAUAAAUAAUAUUUUUAGCCAUGACUUUUAUAUUACAAGCUAAAAGACUCAUGGAUUCCCGUUUAGAAAUAAAGCCCAUCCACGCGGCAACGCAACGUAACGCGCGCAUGAAUCUAAGCGCUAGACUAGAACAUUGCGCGGCGUUGCCGCGCCAAAUGGCCCUCCAGAUAUGAAUAGUCAUAAUUCUGGAUGUUAUGUACAUAAGAUAUAUGGUACACAUGCAUAUAUAAAGUUCUGUCAUAGUUGAAAAUACACUAAAGCUGAAUGGUACAAAAAUUGAGAAUUUGUGGAGCAAUCAUAAAUUGUUGUAAUAGCUUAUGUCAUGCUAUCUAUAUAUGUAGGGGUAUUUGUGAAAUGAUUGUUUAGGGUGCCAUAGCGCCUUGAAGGUCGGAUCAGUACCCAGACUCAAACUCGCCCAAAGGGGAGCAAGGCCAUCAGCAGCCAUAUUACAAGAAUGCCGGCUAUGAGCUACACUAUACGAAAUGAAAUUACUUCUUAGCAAACCCCCAUCCACCUGAUCACGUGCUUGAAGAGAAGGCUCCAUCGCAGUUGAUGUUAACGGUAUUCACCAAAGGUGGUGUCCAAAUUUUUCUGGGUUUCGACUGAACAUCCACUUCCUUGGACUGCUUGAGUGUCGACCACUCUGCUGCAGAGGAAACGAUCAAACAUGCCAACCGUCCACUAUCUCUCGGCUGCUCACCUUCUGUUAAGUAGUGCUUCUCCUCCCUGCCAUCUCUUGACUGUUAAGUAGUGCUUCCCCUCCCUGCCAGAUACUUGAAACAAAAGGAUGGCAGGGAGGGGAAGCACUACUUAACAGAUUCAUUAGUACAUUUGUCAGUUAAUAUGUAAUAACUUUAGCAGUGAAACCUAUUGGGUACACUGCCAGAAAUACUUUAGCAUGGUGUGUAUUGUUUGCAUAAUGAAGAAACAUUAACAGAAAAAUAUGCAGUUAUGGGUAAAUGUGAUGUAUAUCUAUGUUUAGCAUUAAUUGAUUAAUCUAUAUGAAUGGUAAAAGAAAGUGAGCAUCGCAGUCGCUGCUUCCAGAAAUUGUUGGAUUGCUACUAACUUCCUCAAAUGGGAUAGCAACAUGGGGUGGCCUCAGUUUGCCAUUUAAUAAGGAGCUAAAAUGUUCAUUGCAAUCUGCUCUUUCUUAAAACUCUGAAUUCAAAUACCUGGACACAGGUUUUAGAAGAACAUGUAACUGUGAAAUUAACACCUGGCAACCUUUUUAUUUUCAGUGGUAGAGUCCAAACGGAGAGACUGCAAAACUUAAAUGAGAAUAUCCCUGGUGGUCGAUAAUUGGUCAGCAGAUCUAUCUGUUUCUUAACAUGGAAGCGACUUCAUUCUAAGUUCCUUGUUGCCCUAUAAAGUCUUCAGAAGGAACCAAAGGAGUUAUAUUACCUCUUGUUUGUCAAGCUAUUUGACCUGAAGGUAAAAUAAAAAAUAUGUAUGAAGCAAAAAUAGAAGAAAUGCAUAUUGUAAAUUCAAAUAACAACUUUUACAAACUAUAAGUUUGAUUAGGAUGUAUAAGAAAGAAUGUAAUUCUACUGACAAGUAAGGUUUGUCUCUGGCAGAUAAAUAUAAGUUUGUGUUUCAAAUGCCUAUAUGUCACCAUGAUAUUGCUUCAUCUACACUAUAAUCCAACGUUUGCUGUUUUCAAAUUAAACCGGCGGGUAUCUCAUAGCUGCAACAUGCAGCUCACUUGUGUUAAUACAAAAAUUUAUCCUUUAAAUGAUGAAUAGAAAACUAAAACUAAAAUUAUCUAUUAGAGCUAAUUUUGUCAGACACAUUUUUCCAAUUGUCAUUAUAUUUUGUAUCUUACUAUCGGGCAAUUUGGGUUAGUUGUGCAUUAUCUCAAAGAUUGGUUGUGUCGUCUGUAAGCAAGAAAGCAGUUGUAUUGUAUACCAAAUUGCUCAUAUGUGACCAAAUAGGACAAUCAAAUAUUCGUUCUGAAGUUAAGCUUACAGGUAUCUCACAACUAUUUCAUAUCAUCAUGGGACAGGUCAAUCUUAAGUAAAUUAGUAAUUUUAAAACUGGGAAAUCAUGACCAAUAUGCAAGUACCCAGACCUAUAUUUUUCCAACUGCUAAAGAAAUGAAAAGCCAUAUCUAUUGCUGAAACAACCUUGUAUCCAGACCUACCUUUUCAGUUGCACAAGCGUACAGAGGAAAAUCUUUGACAAUGCUGAUAGCUCAAGUUGCUUUCCUUCCUUGUUGAGGAACUCCAAUUGAGCGGAUCAGUAGCUUUGCCUGCAAUCAUGUUAUAAAUUUGUAAUCAAGCAUAUAUCCUAUAGAAUUAGCACAAACUGAGCACUACUAUGAUUUUAUCAUUUAUAUAUACAGCGGAUAAGAUUGAACUGAUUUUUAGAAGCAAUACUUAUAUGAGCAGUGUUAAUAAUACGGAGUAUCUAUUGCAUUCUUAAUUACACAUGAAUUGAGGUGUGGAGCCUUACAUUGUCAUUCUCCAUCAGCUUGGUGCUGUUGUAAAAUUUGAAGCCUGAUGGCACUGGUGGCCUGGUGGGUAGGAGAGGACGCGAGGUCUUUCAUCUUUGGUGAUGGCCUGGGAAUGACCCAGCGUGGUCUGCGCUGGCGGCACUCGCACCGGCGGCGGUAGGGAUGGGAGCUCCUUAGCGAUGCACGGUACAUGGAGGGCCGAGGAGAGCAAGGCGCAGAUGCCUGUAGGGGAAGCAGGAGGCGCCAACGGAGAUGUGGAGGCGGAGGCCAACUGGCCGAGGGACAGGUCCGAGACGUUGUCCGUCGUGUCCGCGUCGAGGAAGAGAAAAGCGCCGUGUGUAGGUGGGGCCCUCGAGGAAGAGGAGGAGCUGAUGGCCUCCUCGGCGCGGGCGAUGCCGUUGCCGCGGACUGGGUGGUGGUGUGCGUUCGGAGGGCGGCGGCCAGCAGGGGCAUCAGAGGUACGGGGAAGAGGACUGGAAACAAAUUGGAAAAAGGACUGUGUUGGAAAGAUUUGCGAUUGAAAUUUUCUCGAAGGAUCUAGACAGAAACGUCGCCACGAGCCAAUCCGACGGCUUUCGACUCUCUAUCGGGAGAUCCGACGGAUAUCAAGAGAUAGAUGACGUGGAGGGCUAUUUUGCAAAGACCGCGACGCGGUUUCAGUUUUUAAAGAUAAAGAUUACACGACGCCCUAGUGGUCGGCACGGCAGUGAGAUACUCUCACGGCAACGGGACGGCCAUCUCGUGAUCUCGACCGGCGGCGUGCUUCGACACAGCUACUCCAGUGCUACAGCUCGCGGACCACGGUCGCAGGAGGGCGGCGGCCCGGGUGCAUGCCGCUGCAGCCAGCGCGCGCGAGCCGCCGCCGAGUCCGGCCGGGGACCAAGAGAGCAGCAUUCCAGGUUGCAAAAGGUCUCAAAAUAUGGGCCACCAAGGAGUGGGCCUGUCCCGUCGUUUGGUGGUUGGUUUCCGUGAUCCGUUUCGCCUGUAAAAAGGCGGAAGAACGGGGACAGCCGGACAGGCCAACCAGGCAAGUAGCGAGGCAACGAGCCCAUGCGUGGUCCAGCAUGCGUGCCGCGCUUUUUUUUUAAAAAAAAAGUGUAUGCAUAUUUUAAAUUUAAAAAGACAACAUAUAGUUUUUUUAUAAAAUGUACACCCUUUUUACCAAAUUAUAAUACAUUUUAGAUAAUCUAGAUACAUUAAUUUUACUGUGUAUCUAGACAUGGUGUAUAUCCAAGUGUGUAGAAAAACCAAAAGAUCUCAAUUUAGAUGGAGAAGGUAUAAAAUUAAAUGUAUUAUCGACUCACAUUUUGACAAUAAUGUUGGGGGAUUUGUAUGAAUAGCCCGCCAGGCGGAUAGAAAUAAUGUAUCAUCACCGUCUUAGUGGACGGUCCAUUUCUAUCUCACGUUUUAAAACAGAGUAGUUUUUUCCUAAAAAAAAAACAGAGUAGUUUGUAUGAACAGUUUUGAGUUACCAUAAAAAUCACAAGUUUUCAUAGGCGAUCCAAUAGCACACUUGAAAAAUAGCUGUCUAUAUGAAUUACCUUUUGAGGUACCACAAAAAUCAUAAUAUUUUUCAUAGGUGCUCCAAUGAAGACAAAAUUUACAUGAGAAUUUAAAUAGGACAAGAUGUACAACAUUUCUAUACUCCAUUAGUAGCCAUAUACUAAUGUGCAGCUUAUUUGUGUUUAAUGUAAACCCGUUUCUAUACACACCUUGUGUUUCCAACAACGUUUACAAAUAAACAGGAAACACACACACAGAUGGUUCAGUUAAGGUAUGAAAGAGAGCCACCAAAUGAACAUUAUCCGCUUAACCCAAGAAGGCCUCGAAUGCAAGAUCACAGGCUUAGGCCUUGUUUAGUUCCCGAAAUGAAAAAUUUUCGGCACUGUAGCACUUUUGUUUGUUUAUGGUAAAUAUUAUUCAAUCAUGAACCAACUAGCAUUAAAAGAUUUGUCUCGUGAUUUACAGAUAAACUGUGUAAUUAGUUUUUAUUUUCAUCUAUAUUUAAUAUUUCAUACAUGUGUCGCAAUCGAUAAAACUUUUUAGUUUUUGGGGUGAACUAAACAAGGCCUUAAAAUUGUACAGAUCAUUUAGAGAUGAUCAAUGCACAGAAGGUCGUCCGUUACCCAAAAGAAAAUGCACACAUGGUUCGAUGUGCUCGUCCAGGCGACCGACAAUUGCAUGGUCACACUCACCGAAGAUGAAAAACGUGCAAAAUGUGUGAGUCAGUGGUGCUGUAUGGUAUGUGCACAUAUGGACCACGGAUGUUAGCACAUUACCUUUGAAUUGCAAAACUAACAAGAGUAUCACAUCCAAAUCAAUUACAUUAUUUUAUCGAUCUUAAUUUCCUAACUCCACCUAAAAAAGGUCUUGCUCUGAGUAUCCUCUACCAAAAUGGAAUUAUGCUUAUUUUCCGUUCCCACUAACUUCCAUUUCAUCACACACACCGAAGACGAGCAAAAAAAGAGAGUGCCACUGCUACUUGUGACCCGCGGCCUUGGUGGUGAGCCCGAAGCCGAACGGGAAGAGCGGGUCGUAGUGCUUGUCGCCGUAGUUCAUGGGCAGCUGGUCCACCGACUUGAACC